CCUACGGGAGGCAGCAGUGGGGAAUUUUGCGCAAUGGGGGCAACCCUGACGCAGCAACGCCGCGUGAGUGAUGAAGGCCUUCGGGUCGUAAAGCUCUGUCAGAGGGGAAGAAAUGCAGGUGGUGAACAACCAUUCUGUUUGACGGUACCCUCAAAGGAAGCACCGGCUAACUCCGUGCCAGCAGCCGCGGUAAUACGGAGGGUGCGAGCGUUGUUCGGAAUUAUUGGGCGUAAAGCGCGUGUAGGCGGUUUGUUAAGUCGGAGGUGAAAGCCCCGGGCCCAACCUGGGAAGUGCAUUGGAUACUGGCAGACUUGAGUACGGGAGAGGAGAGUGGAAUUCCCAGUGUAGGAGUGAAAUCCGUAGAUAUGGGGAGGAACACCGGUGGCGAAGGCGGCUCUUUGGACCGAUACUGACGCUGAGACGCGAAAGCGGGGGAAGCAAACAGGAUUAGAUCCCUAAGUAGU
rnacentral:rRNA from 1 species